rnacentral:misc_RNA from 1 species
GCAAUAUUAGUGAGAUAGAUGAGACUAGGACUCAGCGACCUAGCUUAUUACAUAUUGUGUUACAGUGUUUGAUGACAUUGAUAAAUUAAACACCACUGUCUUUGCUAUUAUCCUACAGAUUUUCGAGAGUGGGUUAUAUUUGGAUUUCCCUUGGAAGACGGAUUAUUGCUUUAUGGGUGUUCUGGUUAUCUUGGUAUCGAGGAUUGGAGUGAAAGAUGUUAUGAUUGCAUGUGUCUAGGUGAAUCUGGGAAAUUUGCAAGACACCUUUCAAGCAUUUUUACGAGUACUCAGCAGAUGCAAAAAGACAAACCAUGAUUGCAAU